rnacentral:rRNA from 1 species
UACGUAGGUGGCAAGCGUUGUCCGGAUUUACUGGGCGUAAAGAGCGCGCAGGCGGUCGUUCAAGUCGCGUGUGAAAGCCCCCGGCUCAACUGGGGAGGGUCACGCGAUACUGAUCGACUGGAAGGCAGGAGAGGGUAGUGGAAUUCCCGGUGUAGCGGUGAAGUGCGUAGAUAUCGGGAGGAACACCAGUGGCGAAGGCGGCUGCCUGGGCCAGUUCUGACGCUGAGGCGCGAAAGCGUGGGGAGCAAACAGG